UCCGAAUAUCACAACGAUUUGGCUCAAAAGUGUCCCUAAACGUAAUAAAAACCGAAAAAACAAGCGCGAAUUGCCCCCGCGCCUUGUAAUUGGCGGAAUCGGUCGUGACGUCACACUAGGAGCUCUCCGCGUGCUCUCCGCAGUCAUCUCGUAUCGCUGGGCGGCUGGGCGCACGCGAACUCGGCUCAAAUGUCUGGUUCAGGCCUUCCUGUCUGCCAGAAUGACAAGUUCCGAGGAUCAGUAGACACGAAGGACUCCUUUUGUAGCCCCAUACGCGUUCGAGCCCUUUACUAAGCAGGAGUCCGAGGGAGCAGCAAGAGGAUCCCAGUCCCUGGCAAACGGCGUUGCGUCCUCCGCCCGCGUCGGCAACACGGACUGAGCUGCAGAGCGGCGGCGGAACCACGGAGGGUGUGAUGAGACUGACGCCACGAGUCUUCCUCUGGGCCCCUUCUCGCAGCACGUCCAGAAGCCUCUUCACGUAGUCUGACAAAAUGGAAAAAAAAAAAAAAAAACACAUUGGGUUUUGAAAAUUUGCGUGUUUUUGUUCCCUUGAAAAGUGUCAAAUUGUCGCAAUGAAUGUUCUCAUAUGAACCGUCGUCACACGAGCAUUGAUGACCAUGACAAAUUUUGAUGUAUGGCCAGACUAUUCUGUACAAGUACCGUAUUUACUCAAGUAAUAGCCGCACUGUUUAUGAAGAAAACCUGAGGCUUCGCUUUUCCACGGAGCACGCGAAUCGCCAGUCACAGCAAUCGACAGCACGAUUCCAGCGGUUUACCAGGAUAGAGAUAACAUCUUCGCGCAAAGAUACAAUCUGUGUGGAGAAUCAUGUCCUCGAACUAGUUAUUCGCUAUGUAAUUUAUGCGCAACGCAAUGAUUGGGUGUAUAAGUGUUUUGUGGGAAAGCAGACAGAAGGGCCUUGUUCAUAAAUAGUGUGGCUAUUACUCGAGUAAAUACGGUGGUCACUUUCAUUUUCCACUUCUAACAUGCAAAUUUGAAGGAUGCAGGUAAGCUAAAUAAACAAGAAUGAUAUUCAAUGCA